rnacentral:rRNA from 1 species
GGCCAGACUCCUACGGGAGGCAGCAGUGGGGAAUAUUGCACAAUGGGGGAAACCCUGAUGCAGCGACGCCGCGUGAGUGAAGAAGUAUUUCGGUAUGUAAAGCUCUAUCAGCAGGGAAGAAAAUGACGGUACCUGACUAAGAAGCCCCGGCUAACUACGUGCCAGCAGCCGCGGUAAUACGUAGGGGGCAAGCGUUAUCCGGAUUUACUGGGUGUAAAGGGAGCGUAGACGGCAUGGCAAGUCAGAUGUGAAAGCCCGGGGCUCAACCCCGGGACUGCAUUUGAAACUGUCAGGCUGGAGUGCAGGAGAGGUAAGUGGAAUUCCUAGUGUAGCGGUGAAAUGCGUAGAUAUUAGGAGGAACACCAGUGGCGAAGGCGGCUUACUGGACUGUAACUGACGUUGAGGCUCGAAAGCGUGGGGAGCAAACAGGAUUAGAUACCCUUGUACUC